AGUCGCGACCGAGCUCCCCGGGGAGUCCAAGCGGCGCGGGGACAGGGAGGGCGCUCGGGGCUCGUCCCUGGCUCAGCCGCUCCCAGGGUCCGGUCAAGGUCACGCGCGUGUCUGGGGCCUAACCACCCCGGGGCGUCGUCUCCAGUGGAGCUCACCCAGCCUUCCGGCGCCGCCCCCGGCAGCAGAAGCCCAAAGACAUUCUGUCCCUGUUCUCGGAAGCGGAAACUUUGAGGGAAAUUUUGAGUCACUGGACCUUGCGGAAUUUGCUAAGAAGCAGCCAUGGUGGCGUAAGCUGUUCGGGCAGGAAUCUGGACCUUCAGCAGAAAAGUAUAGCGUGGCAACCCAGCUGUUCAUUGGAGGUGUCACUGGAUGGUGCACGGGUUUCAUAUUCCAGAAGGUUGGAAAGUUGGCUGCAACAGCUGUGGGAGGUGGAUUUUUUCUCCUUCAGCUUGCAAAUCAUACUGGGUACAUCAAAGUUGACUGGCAACGAGUGGAGAAGGACAUGAAGAAAGCCAAAGAGCAGCUGAAGAUCCGUAAGAGCAAUCAGAUACCUACUGAGGUCAGGAGCAAAGCUGAGGAGGUGGUGUCAUUUGUGAAGAAGAAUGUUCUAGUGACUGGGGGAUUUUUCGGAGGCUUUCUGCUUGGCAUGGCAUCCUAAGGAAGAUGA
rnacentral:sRNA from 1 species